rnacentral:rRNA from 1 species
AGAGUUUGAUCCUGGCUCAGAACAAACGCUGGCGGCGUGCCUAACACAUGCAAGUCGUACGUGAAAGUUCCGCAAGGAACGAGUAAAGUGGCGAACGGGUGAGUAAUACAUAGGUAAUCUACUUAUAAGUUCGGGAUAACAGUUCGAAAGGAUUGCUAAUACCGGAUAAUGUGCUUAGUCAAAAGAUUAAGUACCAAAGGUGGCCUCUUCACAAUGCUAUCGAUUAUAAAUGAGCCUAUGGACCAUUAGUUAGUUGGCAGGGUAAUAGCCUACCAAGACAAAGAUGGUUAGCUGGUCUGAGAGGAUGCCAGCCACACUGGAACUGAAACACGUCC